rnacentral:rRNA from 1 species
CACGUAGGGCGCAAGCGUUGUCCGGAAUUAUUGGGCGUAAAGAGCUCGUAGGCGGUCUGUUACGUCUGCUGUGAAAACCCGGGGCUUAACCCUGGGCUUGCAGUGGAUACGGGCAGACUAGAGGCAGGUAGGGGGAGAAUGGAAUUCCCGGUGUAGCGGUGAAAUGCGCAGAUAUCAGGAGGAACACCGGUGGCGAAGGCGGGUCUCUGGGCCGAUACUGACGCUGAGGAGCGAAAGCGUGGGGAGCGAACAGG